GUCCACGCCGUAAACGAUGAGCACUAGGUGUCGCGGGUAUUGACCCCUGCGGUGCCGACGCUAACGCAUUAAGUGCUCCGCCUGGGGAAUACGGCCGCAAGGUUAAAACUCAAAGGAAUUGACGGGGGCCCGCACAAGCGGUGGAGCAUGUGGUUCAAUUCUACGCAACGCGAAGAACCUUACCUGGGCUAGACAACGGAGGACCGCCUCAGAGAUGAGGUUUUCCCUUCGGGGACUUCCGGUUCAGGUGCUGCAUGGCUGUCGU
rnacentral:rRNA from 1 species